rnacentral:misc_RNA from 1 species
GUGAAUCAUCGAAUUUUUGAACGCAAAUUGCACUCUCCUCGGAGAGUAUGCCUGUUUGAGGGUCAGCCUAAAAAAAAUCGACAUAGUCGCUGUUUCGCCGUGACAUUCGUCGGAAAUUGGGUCAUCUUAAACCCUUGGGUUUUUUAAGGGGCUUAAAUUUUCUUUUUCGAUUCCAUGAAUGUUUAUAAGAUUUUAUUUUUUACAGAUUUUUAAGGUAUCGA